CCCGGUCCCAUUCCGAACCCGGAAGCUAAGCCUGCCCGCGCUGAUGGUACUGCACUCGGGAGGGUGUGGGAGAGUAGGUUACCGCCGACC
rnacentral:rRNA from 1 species